AUUAUCUUGGCAGAAUAGUGCAUUAAAUUUAGAAUUUAUUUAUGUAAUUUAAUUUACAGAUAAUA
rnacentral:tRNA from 1 species